AUGAGGGCUCCUGGUCAUGCUAACAAGGUGAAAAAUGUGACGAACCAUGUGAUUGACGGCAAGCGGGGCAUGAUCUACAUUGCAGACCAGAAGAUUUCAAAAUUGACCUUGACAAGCGACAUAAAGGGUCUGAAGCGGGUGCGCCGUGACGCCAGGAAAAACAAGGGGCGUUCGAAGAAGCAAAAGAUUAUUAUAAGUCUGCAUUGCAGUAUGGAGUCAGCUAGGUAG
rnacentral:rRNA from 1 species